UACAGCGGGCGCGAGCGUUAAUCGGAAUAACUGGGCGUAAAGGGCGCGUAGGCGGUUGUAUGAGUCUGAUGUGAAAGCCCUGGGCUUAACCUAGGAAGUGCAUCGCAAACGAUACAACUGGAGUAGUGGAGAGGGUAGCGGAAUUUCCGGUGUAGCGGUGAAAUGCGUAGAUAUCGGAAGGAACGUCAAUGGCGAAGGCAGCUACCUGGCCACAUACUGACGCUGAGGCGCGAAAGCGUGGGGAGCAAACAGG
rnacentral:rRNA from 1 species